rnacentral:rRNA from 1 species
GACGAACGCUGGCGGCGUGCCUAAUACAUGCAAGUUGAGCGAUGAAGAUUGGUGCUUGCACCAAUUUGAAGAGCAGCGAACGGGUGAGUAACGCGUGGGGAAUCUGCCUUUGAGCGGGGGACAACAUUUGGAAACGAAUGCUAAUACCGCAUAACAACUUUAAACAUAAGUUUUAAGUUUGAAAGAUGCAAUUGCAUCACUCAAAGAUGAUCCCGCGUUGUAUUAGCUAGUUGGUGAGGUAAAGGCUCACCAAGGCGAUGAUACAUAGCCGACCUGAGAGGGUGAUCGGCCACAUUGGGACUGAGACACGGCCCAAACUCCUACGGGAGGCAGCAGUAGGGAAUCUUCGGCAAUGGACGAAAGUCUGACCGAGCAACGCCGCGUGAGUGAAGAAGGUGUUCGGAUCGUAAAACUCUGUUGGUAGAGAAGAACGUUGGUGAGAGUGGAAAGCUCAUCAAGUGACGGUAACUACCCAGAAAGGGACGGCUAACUACGU